AGGUGUCCUGGCAUGAUUUUGAUGGUUGGAAUCUGUUCAGAAUGGGAAGAAAUGAUGAGCUGUGCAGAAAAAGCUAUUCAAUGUAGGCUUUUUAUAAAUCACAUGAUUUUCAAAGUAUCUUUAGCUCUGUACUAGGGUUAGGGGUUGCACCCGGGUAGGGUUAGGGUAAGUAAAAUGAGGUGUCCUGGCAAGGUAUAGAUGGAAG